rnacentral:rRNA from 1 species
ACGGGUGAGUAACACGUAGGCAACCUGCCUGCAAGCCUGGGAUAACUGCGGGAAACCGCAGCUAAUACCGGAUACGCAGUCGAGACACAUGUUUUGACUGGGAAAGGCGGAGCAAUCUGUCGCUUGUAGAUGGGCCUGCGGCGCAUUAGCUAGUUGGUGAGGUAACGGCUCACCAAGGCGACGAUGCGUAGCCGACCUGAGAGGGUGAUCGGCCACACUGGGACUGAGACACGGCCCAGACUCCUACGGGAGGCAGCAGUAGGGAAUCUUCCGCAAUGGACGCAAGUCUGACGGAGCAACGCCGCGUGAGUGAGGAAGGCCUUCGGGUCGUAAAGCUCUGUUGCCAGGGAAGAAUGUCGAGGAGAGUAACUGCUCUUCGAAUGACGGUACCUGAGAAGAAAGCCCCGGCCAACUACGUGCCAGCAGCCGCGGUAAUACGUAGGGGGCAAGCGUUGUCCGGAAUUAUUGGGCGUAAAGCGCGCGCAGGCGGCUUUGUAAGUCUGGUGUUUAAACCCGAAGCUCAACUUCGGGUCGCAUUGGAAACUGCAAGGCUUGAGUGCAGAAGAGGAAAGUGGAAU